UAGGGAAUCUUCGGCAAUGGGGGGAACCCUGACCGAGCAACGCCGCGUGAGUGAAGAAGGUUUUCGGAUCGUAAAGCUCUGUUGUUAAGGAAGAACGAGUGUGAGAAUGGAAAGUUCAUGCUGUGACGGUACUUAACCAGAAAGGGACGGCUAACUACGUGCCAGCAGCCGCGGUAAUACGUAGGUCCCGAGCGUUGUCCGGACUUAUUGGGCGUAAAGCGAGCGCAGGCGGUUAGAAAAGUCUGAAGUGAAAGGCAGUGGCUCAACCAUUGUAGGCUUUGGAAACUGUUUAACUUGAGUGCAGAAGGGGAGAGUGGAAUUCCAUGUGUAGCGGUGAAAUGCGUAGAUAUAUGGAGGAACACCGGUGGCGAAAGCGGCUCUCUGGUCUGUAACUGACGCUGAGGCUCGAAAGCGUGGGGAGCGAACAGG
rnacentral:rRNA from 1 species